rnacentral:rRNA from 1 species
GACGAACGCUGGCGGCAUGCCUAACACAUGCAAGUCGAACGAGACCUUCGGGUCUAGUGGCGCACGGGUGCGUAACGCGUGGGAACCUGCCCUUAGGUUCGGAAUAACUCCCCGAAAGGGGUGCUAAUACCGGAUAAUGUCUUCGGACCAAAGAUUUAUCGCCUUUGGAUGGGCCCGCGUUGGAUUAGCUAGUUGGUAGGGUAAAAGCCUACCAAGGCGACGAUCCAUAGCUGGUCUGAGAGGAUGAUCAGCCACACUGGGACUGAGACACGGCCCAGACUCCUACGGGAGGCAGCAGUGGGGAAUAUUGGACAAUGGGCGAAAGCCUGAUCCAGCAAUGCCGCGUGAGUGAUGAAGGCCUUAGGGUUGUAAAGCUCUUUUACCCGGGAUGAUAAUGACAGUACCGGGAGAAUAAGCUCCGGCUAACUCCG